GGCUGGUGUGCUCAGUGGUUAGAGUGUUGGCCUGCACACCGAAGGUUGCAGGUUUGAUACCUGCCCUGGUCA
rnacentral:tRNA from 1 species